rnacentral:rRNA from 1 species
UGAGGAAUAUUGGUCAAUGGGUGCAAGCCUGAACCAGCCAUCCCGCGUGAAGGACGACUGCCCUAUGGGUUGUAAACUUCUUUUGUAUAGGGAUAAACCUACCCUCGUGAGGGUAGCUGAAGGUACUAUACGAAUAAGCACCGGCUAACUCCGUGCCAGCAGCCGCGGUAAUACGGAGGGUGCAAGCGUUAUCCGGAUUUAUUGGGUUUAAAGGGUGCGUAGGCGGCGAUAUAAGUCAGUGGUGAAAUAUUUCGGCUUAACCGAGAGACUGCCAUUGAUACUGUGUUGCUAGAAUAUGGUUGCNGUGAGUGGAAUGUGUGGUGUAGCGGUGAAAUGCUUAGAUAUCACACAGAAUAUCGAUUGCGAAGGCAGCUCACAAAGCCAUUAUUGACGCUGAGGCACGAAAGUGUGGGGAUCAAAC